rnacentral:rRNA from 1 species
ACGAACGCUGGCGGCAUGCCUAACACAUGCAAGUCGAACGAGACCUUCGGGUCUAGUGGCGCACGGGUGCGUAACGCGUGGGAAUCUGCCCUUGGGUUCGGAAUAACAGUUGGAAACGACUGCUAAUACCGGAUGAUGACGUAAGUCCAAAGAUUUAUCGCCCAAGGAUGAGCCCGCGUAGGAUUAGCUAGUUGGUGAGGUAAAGGCUCACCAAGGCGACGAUCCUUAGCUGGUCUGAGAGGAUGAUCAGCCACACUGGGACUGAGACACGGCCCAGACUCCUACGGGAGGCAGCAGUGGGGAAUAUUGGACAAUGGGCGAAAGCCUGAUCCAGCAAUGCCGCGUGAGUGAUGAAGGCCUUAGGGUUGUAAAGCUCUUUUACCCGGGAUGAUAAUGACAGUACCGGGAGAAUAAGCUCCGGCUAACCCCGUG